CACGUAGGGGGCAAGCGUUGUCCGGAUUUACUGGGCGUAAAGAGCUCGUAGGCGGUUCGGCAAGUCGGGUGUGACAACUCCAGGCUCAACCUGGAGAGGUUACUCGAUACUGCUGUGACUAGAGUCCGGUAGGGGAGUAUGGAAUUCCCGGUGUAGCGGUGAAAUGCGCAGAUAUCGGGAGGAACACCGAUAGCGAAGGCAGCUCGCUGGGACGGUACUGACGCUGAGGCGCGAAAGCGUGGGGAGCGAACAGG
rnacentral:rRNA from 1 species